rnacentral:rRNA from 1 species
UACGGCUACCUUGUUACGACUUAGCCCUAGUUACCAGUUUUACCCUAGGCAGCUCCUAUUACGGUCACCGACUUCAGGUACCCCCAGCUUCCAUGGCUUGACGGGCGGUGCGUACAAGGCCCGGGAACGUAUUCACCGCAUCAUGGCUGAUAUGCGAUUACUAGCGAUUCCAGCUUCAUAGAGUCGAGUUGCAGACUCCAAUCCGAACUGAGAUAAGUUUUUGAGAUUCGCAUCUUGUUGCCAAGUAGCUGCCCUCUGUACUUACCAUUGUAGCACGUGUGUAGCCCAAGACGUAAGGGCCGUGAUGACUUGACGUCGUCCCCACCUUCCUCGCGGUUUGCACCGGCAGUCUCAUUAGAGUCCCCGUCUUUAAACGCUGGCA